AGCGAACGCUGGCGGCAGGCUUAACACAUGCAAGUCGAACGGGCGUAGCAAUACGUCAGUGGCAGACGGGUGAGUAACGCGUGGGAACGUACCUUUUGGUUCGGAACAACCCAGGGAAACUUGGGCUAAUACCGGGAUAAGCCCUUACGGGGAAAGAUUUAUCGCCGAAAGAUCGGCCCGCGUCUGAUUAGCUAGUUGGUGUGGUAACGGCGCACCAAGGCGACGAUCAGUAGCUGGUCUGGAGAGGAUGAUCAGCCACAUUGGGGACUGAGACACGGCCCAAACUCCUACGGGAGGCAGCAGUGGGGAAUAUUGGACAAUGGGCGCAAGCCUGAUCCAGCCAUGCCGCGU
rnacentral:rRNA from 1 species